CAAGAUGUUGGAUUCUAACCCACAAUUUAUUCAUUUCCGUAAAGUUGAUAACUAAAAAUUUAACAGAAUCGAGUACGGUUCCUUUGCGAGAUGCAUCUUCCUCAUCUUCUGAUCCCAAAGGUAAUCCUUUUCUUGUUUGGGUAAGCAGAUAAUGGCGCAAAAAAAGACCUCUUAACGGAUGCUGAACACCUCUACACAUAUCUAACAAAUCAUUCAUAAUUUCACGUACAAG